AUAGUAAGAGCAUCUCACGUAUUUUCACUGUUCCUUAUAAGAAAUGUGACUGACCAGCACUUUCAAGCUCUGCAUUUAGUGUUUUGCUGAUCAAGCCAACAAUGACUAGCUUACCCUAAACAGGCAGGCAAGUUCCCAUUUCAGUUCCAAGCACCAUGUGCCAGGCACACUGGUGGCACCAUAAAUGCCUCUCCCUAGUAGCUAGUGAAAGCAAAAAACCAAAAUGACAGCAGCAGAACCUGGUCUCUUAUCUUUUGAUCACACGGGUUGAGCACUUUCCAUUCUGAAGACCUUCAGUUAAAUCCCAAUGAGCCACAGUUGUGCUGCUUCAGUGUAAAUUUACCUACCCUCCUUUCUCCCAGCACUGACAUCAGAAGUGGAACAGUCACUAUUUGCUCAAUAGACAGGGUUUUGUGCCUUUCAGUCACCUCAGCUUUAGCCAAAAUCUUACCUGCACAGAAAUAUGAAUCACAUCUGAGAGGGAAGAGGAGAGAAUGUGACAACGGCAAAAUAAAUUUUUAAAGAUAUCACUUCCAAAUCUGAUUUAUUU